ensembl:lncRNA
AAAUUGGUGCGUAAUCUUCAGCUGCGGGCAUUUUCUCCUGGGAUUCAGGACAGAAAGCACACUUCCACGAACGAUGUAUCAUCGAAGAGAUGUGUGAAAAACACCUUGAGGAUUGGUUCUAAACAACGUUUGCCAUGUUUCAGUCGAUAUUAUGGAGUUCAUUUGGAUAAAAGUUAGGCGUUUUUAUGACUGGAUUUUCGUUUUUUUUUGGUAGCCAAACGUGACGCACCAAACGGAGCGAUUUCUCCUAAACAAAUAACCUUUCAGGAAAAACUGAACAUUUGCUAUCUAACAGAGUCUCCUCAUUGAAAACAUCUGAAGUUCUUCAAAGCUGGAUCCACAAAACAGAUGGCCUGGGACUUUGACUUAUCUCAACAGAAGACUACUCGAGAUUGGAAUGUCCACAGUGCAAGGUGUUCUACAUUGGACGGACAAAGAGAAGCCUUCAAGAUCGCUUAGCGGAACACAAGUACGCCAUACGGGGCUAAUUGUAAAGCUGUUAAAAAGAGGACCUUGUAUUCCUUUUGUUGUACUCCCUGACGAAGGCCAUGCAGACGAAAUGCGUCGGUUAAAAAAAAAAAAAA